rnacentral:lncRNA from 1 species
UUCAAGGUUAUUUUUGCAAACCCCAUCUCUAACAAUGGCUAGUUUUAGGUUGUGGUUCUUCUUCAUUCUUAUCUUGCUUUCAUGUCCUGCCUCCCAAAGUCGUCCGCUUGAGCUAUUAUUUUCACAAAGGAGAAGGGAGACAAUGAUGGAAAUUGCCCGAAAAAUUAUAAGGGAAAGAUCGAGACAUGAAAUUAAGUAUAAUGUGAACAGGAGAAGUCCUGGAGGACCUGACCCUAAACAUCAUUAGGGUAUGGUUUCAUAAUUUUUAAUCGGACGAGGCCAGUCCGCCAGAGGCAGAUGCAAAAU